GUCUGUGUGAAGUUAUAUAGAGUCUAACCUGCCCAUUGAAAUUUUUGAAAGGCCGCGGUAUUUUGACCGUGCAAAGGUAGCAUAAUAAUUAGCUUUUUAAUUGAGAGCUUGAAUGAAAGGUUGAACAAAGAAAAAACUGUCUUUAAUAUUUUUUUUUGAAUUUUACAUUUAAGUGAAAAGGCUUAAAUAUAUUUAAGGGACGAUAAGACCCUAUAAAUCUUAACAUUUAUUUGAUUUUAAAAUUUAGGUGUGAAAUAAUUGAAGCAAAAAUACAUGUUAUACUGGGGUGGUAGAGAUAUAAAGGAAAUAGCUGUCUUUAAAAAUAAAACAAAUAUAUUUGAAAAACUGAAGAUCCUUUGUAGAGAUUGAAAGUUUAAGUUACUUUAGGGAUAACAGCGUAAUUUUUCUUGAGAGUUCUUAUCGAAAGGAGAGUUUGCGACCUCGAUGUUGAAUUAAAAAUUUCUUUAUAGCGCACAAGUUAUAAAGGAAAGUCUGUUCGACUUUUAAAAUUUU
rnacentral:rRNA from 1 species